rnacentral:lncRNA from 1 species
AGUAGUUUGGCAUGAGAGGAAGAAAACCUGGCCUUAGAAGAGGAGUUCAGACAGGAAGCAGCAAUAUUCCAUGAAGAUUUCUGAAUCAAACAGGAGAGGAACUGGCUUCUCAAAGAGCGUAUUGCAGAGAUUCCCUAAAACAUUCGGCUGCACAGCUGGAGCAGCUCCUGAAGCACCUUGUGGUCACAUUCUCAGCAGUAGGAGCCCUUCAGACAUGGUGUCUGUAUGGUGUCUGCUCACCAUGCCAGGUGGGGAGCCCCAGCCUUCCAAACAGCAGUCUUUUUUCGUAGGCUCAUGGUUGCCUCUGGGAUCAUGUAUACUGAGCUGAGAUGACUGAGGAAUCAAACUGACUCAUGAAGUCAGGGAUGGUAGCCUGCAGUGAUGAUGGCAGCAAGGAUUGUUCUCCCGUCAGCGGAAGGAAAACCUGCACUGGGCAGAGAGAGGAUAAAGCCCUCCUGUGCAUCCUACUGACGCACCACAAGCAGCUGCAGUUGCUUCCUACUGCCACAGCACAGGUAAGUCUGGUGUGUACACUCCGCCCUAGCUUUUCCAAGGUAUGCGUCAUGGCUGGAACAGAGACUUGCAUAGUGUCACAUCUCAUUGAUGAUACCCUCACCAUGAUCAGAUUCAUUUCUCCCUCCUCCUUUACUGUGCAACGCUUUCCUUAAUUUGUCAGCGCAAGCAGAAAUAACGAGGCUAACAGGAGCUUUGGCUUAUCUCCUCUUCUAACUGUGACUAAGAAGUAUGUGGGUGAUAUCUUGAUCAAGGGCUGUUUUGGUUGCAGUGUACACACACUCAAACUUUGCAGUUCCAGUCCAGAACAGUAGGUCAUCCCUGUGCCCAGUAAAUGCACUGUUACAACGGGUGCAACUCUGUAUCAAUUCAUGUCACAUCUGGCACACUUAACAUUUCAAAAACUGCAUAAGCUGCACCUCAAAAUGUUGUUACUCGGCAUUGCUGUCUGUAAUAACUGAGAAUCAUUACACUCCAUUAAGACAUUGAAUAUGAACAUGUAAAAGAACUGUUACUGUUAUCUGUAUGAUGACCAGACCAUUAAGAGUUCUUCUUAAUAAUAAAUAAUAAUUAAGAGCCA